CCAGAUUAAAAUAUAAUAAUGUUAAAAUGCAACUGUACAGAGUACGUUAGUGCUUUAAUUGAGCGUCGACAGGUAACCAACAACAGGGCAGUAAACCAGUAGUGACAGAUUUUCAUUUAAGAAUGACAUCCUAUUUAAAAAAGCAAAACUUUGAUUAUUAAUAAUUUUUUUUUUUUAAUUGUAUUACUUUAAGUGUAUUACUUUUUGUAUUAUAGUUCUAUGUAUAGUAACGCUGAGUCAGAUUAAUCAAUAUUAUGUUGUUGUGAAAUAUGUUAAAUAUAUUGAAGUGUUUAAGAAGUGGGCAACAGCUGUAUAACUUGUGAAUGGGUAGGGUAUUUCUGGUUGUUAACAAUGCAACCGGACACUUUAAACGGAAUAACCAACAAAGGAUUUUGUUUAUACUGAUAGAGAGUAAUAUCUUAUAUAUUAUGUUUUACGGGAGCUUAUGCUGAUUACAUUUCUGAGAUAAGGAAUAACUAAUGUAUAAUAUCGACCAAAAAAUCAACAAAAUCGGCAUGCAAAAGGGGAGAAGAGAGACAGGGAGAGAAUUGCUAUGAAUAGACGAACUACAAUUUGUGAUUUAAACAAGAACAAGCCAGAAUGUGGUUGCGUGUUACCCGAGAUAUCAAAAACUGUUACGACAGGCCUCGUGAAUACAAGUUUUGUGAAAGCGGCGCCUGUAUCCUUAACAACCAGUAUUGUCCCUGUACAAGGACAGAUAUGUUCACCUGUUCUAAUGGUAAAUGUUUAAACCCAGCAUUAGUUUGUGACGGUCAGGAUGAUUGUGGGAACAACUCAGAUGAGAAUAUUUGUCACACACCUGGUCCGACUGUGCCUUUUAACAGUGACGUCCGCGGUUUAUCUGUUGGAUUUAUUUUAGCUAUCAGUAUUGGUGUUCUAUUUCUAGUGACUCUUAUUGUUGUUUUCGUCAUCGUUUAUUGGGUACAUCGUAGACAUCGAUUAAGAAACCAGGGUACCUCAGGUAUUGAACCACUUCGAAAUUCAGUCAGAAAUUGCACUGAAGGCAAUUCAAAUAGUGACUUACACGCGAAAAACGUUGGAUAUAAUAAAGUGCCAUUGAAUGAAAGUUUUGAGCCCUUCGGUGACGUUUUAUGUACAUCAACACCAAAACCCGACGCCAGGCGACAAAUUAUUCGAACUGAUCCGAACGGUACACCACAGAAACCCAUCUUAAUGUUAAAAAAUGUCUGAUGACAGAAAUAUCCAGUUUAUACGGACGUCAUAUAAAACUAAUUGAAAUGGUGCCCAGUAAAGGCGCUCUCAAGAUCAAAUCAGUAAACCAAAGGUAAAAAAUGGAGUUGAUAUCUAACAGUUAAGAUUGUGAUGAAAGUAAGAUUGAAAUAAUUCUAAUGGUAUAUAACAAGGAUGGUAUUCUAAAUUUGUACAAGGAUGGAAUAUUCUAAAUGUGUAUAACAAGGAUGGAAUGGUCUAAAUUUGUAUAAUAAGGAUGGACUAUUCUAAAUAUGCAGCAAGAUGGAAUAUUCUAAAUGUGCAUCAAAGUGAAAUAGUAUAAAUGUACGUCAGAAUGGAAAAGUCUAAAUGUGAAUCAAUGUGAACAAGUUAACAUGUCUAUCAGAAUGGAUAGUCUAAAUGCGCACCAGAAUGUGUCUAAAUGCGUAUCCAGGUGAAAUAAUAGCUGUCUAGUCUAAAUGCGUGUAGCUUAGUUUAUUUCGCGUAUUCAGUUAAGUACAAACAAGAGUGAUUUCAUAUAUUAUCCUCUUUCACAAUACGGACAUAUUCCUCGAAUUGUUUCGUUUGAUUAGAGCUAAUCCCACUUAACACUGCUGUAAUAGAAGCAAAUUUUUGUUUCAAAUUAUGACUGGACAAUAGCCCGAUUAACAACCAAUAGCUAACUGCGUAACAAUAUCAUUACGCUUUUAACAGAGCUCCAAAUUGGACCAAAUAUGUUUACAUAACGUUACGACUCUGGAUUUUAUUAUGCCCAAGCAGCCCAAUUAACAAGUGCAUAGGAGAAUAUUGUAGAAAAACUAUUUGCGUGACAAACGAGGCUAUCAACACGUAUACAAUGUAAACAAUACUGUUUGGAGACGAAUAAUACUUUAACCGUUUUUAAUACCUUAAAUCACUGUCCAAAGUUUUAGGGAAGACCCCAGAUUAAACGAAGGGCUGUCAUGUUGCUGUACCUGGGAUACAUUUUGUUGAACGGGAAGAAUAUACACACUCCCUCAAAAGAUCAAGUAUCAGAAGCCAAUCCAGCAAUGGCCAGAGAGGAAUUUCUCGGUCCCUUGCUUCAGGGAUAUGCAAUACGCGUUGAUUAUAAUACUUGAAACGGGAAAAAGAAACGAAACCCAAAUUGGGUUGAAGUUCGAAGAUGUAUGAAAUAUCACCUUUAACAGUACACAUUGUCUUUAAAUUCUCAGCAUUUGGCCAUUGAACAAAAACCACAGCGAUUUUAAAGUAUUGUGUAGUUUAUACAUUUUAGUGUUGAUAUACAUCUAAUGACUUUCUGAUUGAUUCAUCUGCUAAAAUGAAUAAUAUAUAUUAUUUAUAAACUGUAAAAGCCAUUCAGCAUAAUGAACUACUAUUGCUAUUAUACAGUGCUGAACCACGUGGCUGAACAUAGAAAAAACUAUGAACAUUAUUCUUAUAAUAAAUAAUGAUAUAUACAACAAAUAACAUUAGGCGAUAAAAUUGGGUUUGAUUAGGUAAAGUAUAGGAAGACUGUGUACCGUGCUUGGGCAUAUUAUUAAUAUUUAACAUACACCCAGCAUCUAAGUCAUCCGGAGAUGGACCUGAUUAUGCCUUUUGUUACAUCGUUGCCUUCGCCGUUUUAGAAGAUAAGGAAACACGUUGCCUGACAACGAACAUACACCCACCACCAGCUAAGUCGCCCAAACAGUUAUAGGAUAAACAAGUCAUAGAAAGUUCAAAAAGACCAGACUGAUGACAAUUAAAAUUUUAGAGAACAUCAGAUCAACCAGUAGCCCCUACAGAUUUUUGGAAAGGGCGUGUAAAAACGGAUCGGAAGGUCGCGGAACACUGAAUAUGGAUAGGGUUCGUCCUCAUAUUACUUCCAAUGCUUUACACCAAUUUGAAAAAAAAAUUUAUUAAAAACUGUAGGCUCCAUCAGUUCGCAGAGUUUACGGUAAAGGGGAUAAAAUACGAUAUAAGGGUUUGUUCUCUCAUGAUACCAAUGAUUCACACUUAAUGUGUGAAAAAGACAGAAAACUCUUCCGUCUCACAAGUCAAUCGUUGAUGGACGGACGGACGGGUAGACAGUGUCACAACAUAUUGCAUAAUGCGCCCACACUGAAAUGUGAUCGUAUAAAAUAGUAAGUACAGGAGAACCGCACUACGCGCAAAGACAAACUGAUAAGACAGACCUGCGGACAAGACACUAACUACACAAAUAUUGAAAGCAAUAAACAAUAAAUAUCAAAUCAAGUGAAUGGGUCCCGGGGGGGGG